AAAAGCCCGCUCGCCGGAAGACCAAGGGUUCCUGUCCAACGUUAAUCGGGGCAGGGUGAGUCGACCCCUAAGGCGAGGCCGAAAGGCGUAGUCGAUGGGAAACAGGUUAAUAUUCCUGUACUUGGUGUUACUGCGAAGGGGGGACGGAGAAGGCUAUGUUGGCCGGGCGACGGUUGUCCCGGUUUAAGCGUGUAGGCUGGUUUUCCAGGCAAAUCCGGAAAAUCAAGGCUGAGGCGUGAUGACGAGGCACUACGGUGCUGAAGCAACAAAUGCCCUGCUUCCAGGAAAAGCCUCUAAGCAUCAGGUAACAUCAAAUCGUACCCCAAACCGACACAGGUGGUCAGGUAGAGAAUACCAAGGCGCUUGAGAGAACUCGGGUGAAGGAACUAGGCAAAAUGGUGCCGUAACUUCGGGAGAAGGCACGCUGAUAUGUAGGUGAAGUCCCUCGCGGAUGGAGCUGAAAUCAGUCGAAGAUACCAGCUGGCUGCAACUGUUUAUUAAAAACACAGCACUGUGCAAACACGAAAGUGGACGUAUACGGUGUGACGCCUGCCCGGUGCCGGAAGGUUAAUUGAUGGGGUCAGCGCAAGCGAAGCUCUUGAUCGAAGCCCCGGUAAACGGCGGCCGUAACUAUAACGGUCCUAAGGUAGCGAAAUUCCUUGUCGGGUAAGUUCCGACCUGCACGAAUGGCGUAAUGAUGGCCAGGCUGUCUCCACCCGAGACUCAGUGAAAUUGAACUCGCUGUGAAGAUGCAGUGUACCCGCGGCAAGACGGAAAGACCCCGUGAACCUUUACUAUAGCUUGACACUGAACAUUGAGCCUUGAUGUGUAGGAUAGGUGGGAGGCUUAGAAGUGUGGACGCCAGUCUGCAUGGAGCCGACCUUGAAAUACCACCCUUUAAUGUUUGAUGUUCUAACGUUGACCCGUAAUCCGGGUUGCGGACAGUGUCUGGUGGGUAGUUUGACUGGGGCGGUCUCCUCCUAAAGAGUAACGGAGGAGCACGAAGGUUGGCUAAUCCUGGUCGGACAUCAGGAGGUUAGUGCAAUGGCAUAAGCCAGCUUGACUGCGAGCGUGACGGCGCGAGCAGGUGCGAAAGCAGGUCAUAGUGAUCCGGUGGUUCUGAAUGGAAGGGCCAUCGCUCAACGGAUAAAAGGUACUCCGGGGAUAACAGGCUGAUACCGCCCAAGAGUUCAUAUCGACGGCGGUGUUUGGCACCUCGAUGUCGGCUCAUCACAUCCUGGGGCUGAAGUAGGUCCCAAGGGUAUGGCUGUUCGCCAUUUAAAGUGGUACGCGAGCUGGGUUUAGAACGUCGUGAGACAGUUCGGUCCCUAUCUGCCGUGGGCGCUGGAGAACUGAGGGGGGCUGCUCCUAGUACGAGAGGACCGGAGUGGACGCAUCACUGGUGUUCGGGUUGUCAUGCCAAUGGCACUGCCCGGUAGCUAAAUGCGGAAGAGAUAAGUGCUGAAAGCAUCUAAGCACGAAACUUGCCCCGAGAUGAGUUCUCCCUGACCCUUUAAGGGUCCUGAAGGAACGUUGAAGACGACGACGUUGAUAGGCCGGGUGUGUAAGCGCAGCGAUGCGUUGAGCUAACCGGUACUAAUGAACCGUGAGGCUUAACCUU
rnacentral:rRNA from 1 species